GCGUGAGUGAAGAAGGCCCUAGGGUUGUAAAACUCUUUCAAUCGUGAAGAUGAUGACGGUAACGAUAGAAGAAGCACCGGCUAACUUCGUGCCAGCAGCCGCGGUAAUACGAAGGGUGCUAGCGUUGUUCGGAAUUACUGGGCGUAAAGCGCGCGUAGGCGGAUUGAUCAGUCAGAGGUGAAAGCCCCGAGCUCAACUUGGGAACUGCCUUUGAUACUGUCAGUCUUGAGUCCGAGAGAGGUUAGUGGAAUUCCCAGUGUAGAGGUGAAAUUCGU
rnacentral:rRNA from 1 species